UGAAGACAAACAGACUGAAAUAGGAGGGCACAGUUUCAGGCAAAACUCAGGGUAAAACUGCAGAUAAAAAUGGUCUGGGCUGGUUUAGCUCUGCAUCUGUCUCUGCUGCACUGUCUGCAGGCACAGGAGUGCAGAUUGUUUAAUUUGCACUGGGGACUGCCUUUGACUCCACGAAUAAGAAAGCACCUUUAAAUACUCCCCACCUCUACUGAGCUGAGUUCUCCUGGUCUCCAGCUCCUGUGUGCACUUGGCCAGCAGGACCAGAGCUGGGCCUGCAAGGGCAGGCGUGAUGGGAAGACAGAGUUAAGACUGAAAUAUGAAACAUGUGAACUCAUCGCCCUCCAAUGUUGUCCUUUGUUCACCCAGCUUUAUAUGUGUCUAAGAAAAGGUUAAUGUGAAUGGUCACUGCAGUGCCCUUUCUGUGUGCUGGG